rnacentral:rRNA from 1 species
UACGUAGGGGGCUAGCGUUGUCCGGAAUCAUUGGGCGUAAAGAGCGUGUAGGCGGUCCGGUAAGUCCGCUGUGAAAGUCGGGGGGCUCAACCCUCGAAUGCCGGUGGAUACUGUCGGGCUAGAGUGCGGAAGAGGCGAGUGGAAUUCCUGGUGUAGCGGUGAAAUGCGCAGAUAUCAGGAGGAACACCUAUUGCGAAGGCAGCACUCUGGGACGGUACUGACGCUGAGACGCGAAAGCGUGGGGAGCGAACAGG